rnacentral:ncRNA from 1 species
AAAAAGUUUUAUUUUAGCUUAAAAAAAUCAAUAUAUAAUUUUUUUAUAUAUAAAUUUUUAUGAGAAUUUAUAAAAUUUUAAAUAAAUUUUAUAUUAUUUUAGUUGUAGUAUGUAAAUUUAAAUAUUUAAGAUAUUAAGAUUUAGGAAUUUAUAAUAGUAUUAACAAAAUUUGUGCCAGCAGUUGCGGUUAUACAUAUAAUACAAUUUAUUUUUAUUAAUAAAUAAUUAAAAGAUUAAUUUUAAUUAAAUUAAUAAUUUAUUAGGUGAAAUUUUAAAUUAUUAAAAGUUAUUUUUUAGAUUUUGAAGUUAUUAAAUUUUAUAAAAAACUAGGAUUAGAUACCCUAUUAUUAAAAUGUAAAUUUUUAAUAUUAAAUUAUUAAUAGUUAUAAUCUUUAAAGUUAAAGAUUUUGGCGGUAUUUUAGUCUUUUUAGAGGAACCUGUUCUGUAAUUGAUAAUCCACGAUUAGAAUUACUUAAUUUAAAAAUUUAUAUAUCGUUGUAGUUGAAUAUUUUAUAAGAAAUUAAAUAUUCAAAAAAUUUUAUUAAAAAAUAAAUCAAAUCAAGGUGUAGUUUAUAAUUAAGAAGAAAUGGGUUACAUUUAUUAUAAUAAUGGAUUGAUAAUUUAAAAUUAUUUUGAAAUUGGAUUUAAUAGUAAUUUAUUUAAUUUAGAUUAAAUGAUUUUAGCUCUAAAAUAUGCACAUAUUGCCCGUCGCUCUCAUUUAAGUUGAGAUAAGUCGUAACAUAGUAAAUGUACUGGAAAGUGUAUUUAGUUAGCA